rnacentral:rRNA from 1 species
GACGAACCGUGCGAACGUUGUUCGGAAUCACUGGGCUUAAAGGGCGCGUAGGCGGCUUGUCAAGUCAGGGGUGAAAUCUUUCGGCUCAACCGGAAAAGUGCCUUUGAUACUGACAGGCUAGAGUGCGGAAGGGGCAACUGGAAUUCUUGGUGUAGCGGUGAAAUGCGUAGAUAUCAAGAGGAACACCUGCGGCGAAGGCGGGUUGCUGGGCCGACACUGACGCUGAGGCGCGAAAGCCAGGGGAGCAAACGGG